ACAGGUGCGCUUCCGCCUUUGGUUAUUCAUCAUGUAAUUGACAUGGAUAGUUAACAUAAUAUGAUUAGAAAUAUGAAAUUGUUUGACCAACUCUUACAUUCAUACAUCUUUAAUUUUCAUACACUCAUUUAAUAUCUUUUUUUUUUUCUCUCUCUCUCUCUUUUAUUUUCUCACAUAACAAUAUAUUACAUCUAUCACAUUAUUGUUUGUAUUUUUAUUUAUGUCAAUGUAUCAAUUGACAUUUGGGCGUACACCAAACACUUUUCUUCUUUGAUUAUGUGGUUGGCCACCAAAAUCCUCACAUGCAUUUAUCCACCUGAUUCAAUUUGAUUGCUCAUCUGCUCUUUCUCUCAAUCACUUUGAUGUUUUGUUUUCUCUCUAGCUAGCUAGCCCAAUAGUUACGCUAUUGAAGUUUGGAUUACAUGAUGAGAAAAUUAGUAUUAACGUGAUUUCUACAUUUACACAACCAAGAGUGAGCACUACUCUUUCAACUCUAUUACUCCUUUUUCAUUCAAAUCAUUAACAUCAAUUAAAUUAAUUGUACAUAAUAUAGUCAACUCAGCUGAGAGUUAUCUACUUUUUUCUCGUGAUGAUGAAAGUGAAAGGAAAAGAGAAAGGAAAUUGUAACCCAAAGGCAAAAAUUGUGGAGUAAUUCUUUUUAUGAGAGGGCAUAGAAAAAGCUUUCUUCAAUGCGUGACAAUGUCAUUACUCAAAAAAUAAUAUAAAAAUUUUCAAACAUGAACGAUCUAAAAGGAGGAAAUUGCGGCGAAGUUACAAGAAGCAGUAUAAUCUUCCGUGAACAAACAAGAAAAGCAGAGUUGGAAUUCAAUUAAUUCAUGAUAUGAUCUUAGUGUCUACAGGGUCCCACUGCGAUUGAAAUUCUAGUUACUUUUACUAAUAUGUUGAAAUAUUCUUCUACCUACACAAGAGUAAACACAAGAAACUUCGCAAUUCAUAACCGAAAAUUCUAAUAGUAAAUAAUUCACAUCGCAUGAUGAAAAGCCGAAUUCACUAUUUCAUUUUCUUCAAGGUUACGCAAACCCACUGGACCCCCCAUUUUUUUAAAAAAUAAAUAAAUAAAAAUCUUAACCUUUCAUUCAAACAAAAGAACCAUGACACCAAAAAGAAAUACCAAGUUCGAAAGAAGACAUAGCCUUUAGUGAUAAUGGUAUAAUAUAUUUAUGCAAGUGAAUUCUUACUUGAAAACUUAACAAUAAUGUUCUUUUAUAAUAACUAUAUUACAAGCUUAUGAAUUUCGUUCAUCAUUGAAACAAAACAUUUUAAAUAAAUAAAAAAAACACGAUGAGAGAAAGAAAAGAACAAAUAAUGAAUAGAUGAAACAAAAAAGUAAUGAGUAAAUAAAGAAACAAGAAAGAGUAGUUAUUCGAUUGGAAUAGAGUGAAUUAAGCGUUACCUUUCUUGACCAGCAGUGUCCCAUAUUUGAGCUUUGAUGAGUUUGUCUCUAACUUUGAUGUUUCUGUAAGCAAAUUCAACUCCAAUAGUUGGUUUUGAAUCCAACCUGAAUUCAUCUUUUGCAAAUCUUGAAAGCAGAUUUGAUUUUCCAACUCCAGAGUCUCCGAUCAAUACUGCCUUGAACAGGUAAAAAUAUUGUUUAUGUUGAUGCUGAUUGCUUCCAGGGCGGGUUGGCAGGUUGAGGAAUCAUCAUUUUUUGCUCUUAGAGCUCUGAAAUUUUGAGGAGUUGCAUAAGAGAACAUAUAAAAUGGAACCAUCUCUAGCUGAAGAAAUGGGGCUAUUUAAGUAGUGUAAUGUAGUGGUGGUCACCUGUCAAAGCCAUCUUAAAGAAUUUGAUGAGCUUCUUCUAAUAUAAAUAUUUGGGUCAUGCAUGUUGUUAUUUUAAAAA